rnacentral:sRNA from 1 species
AGCCCAACCCAUGGCCGGGUCUCCUAGUCGCGCCGCGGGCCGGCGACUGCAGCUUCCCCUGCUGUCCUUCCUCCAGGGCGCCACUGCCGUCCUCUUUGCUGUCUUUGUCCGCUACAACCACAAAACCGACGCUGCCUUCUGGCACCGGGGCAACCACAGUAAUGCGGACAACGAAUUUUACUUUUGCUACCCAAACGGAGUUUCGCUCUUGUUGUCCAGGCUGGAGUGCAAUGGCACAAUCUCGGCUCACCACAACCUCUGCCUCCCGGGUUCAAGCGAUUCUCCUGCCUCAGCCUCCCAAGUAGCUGGGAUUACAAGCUUCCAGGACGUGCAUGCCAUGGUCUUCGUGGGCUUUGGCUUCCUCAUGGUCUUCCUGCAGCAUUGCGGCUUCAGCAGCGUGGGCUUCACCUUCCUCCUGGCCGCCUUUGCCCUGCAGUGGUCCACACUGGUCCAGGGCGUUCUCCACUGCUUCCGCGGUGGCCACAUCCAUGUUGGCGUGGAGAGCAUGAUCAACGCUGACUUUUGUGCGGGGGCCGUGCUCAUCUCCUUUGGUGCCGUCCUGGGCAAGACCGGGCCUGCACAGCUGCUGCUCAUGGCCCUGCUGGAGGUGGUGCUGUUUGGCAUCAAUAAGUUUGUGCUCCUUCAUCUCCUGGGGGUGAGAGAUGCCGGAGGCUCCAUGACUAUCCACACCUUUGGUGCCUACUUCGGGCUCGUCCUUUCGCAGGUUCUGUACAGGCCCCAGCUGGAGAAGAGCAAGCACCGCCAGGGCUCUACCAUUCAGACCUCUUCGCCAUGAUUGGGACCAUCUUCCUGUGGAUUUUCUGGCCUAGCUUCAAUGCUGCACUCACAUCGCUGGGGGCUGGGCAGCAUCGGGCGGCCCUCAACACAUACUACUCCCUGGCUGCCAGCACCCUUGGCACCUUUGCCUUGUCAGCCCUUGUAGGGGAAGAUGGGAGGCUUGACAUGGUCCACAUCCAAAAUGCAGCGCUGGCUGGAGGGGUUGUGGUGGGGACCUCAAGUGAAAUGAUGCUGACACCGUUUGGGGCUCUGGCAGCUGGCUUCUUGGCUGGGACUGUCUCCACGCUGGGGUACAAGUUCUUCACGCCCAUCCUUGAAUCGAAAUUCAAAGUCCAAGACACAUGUGGAGUCCACAACCUCCAUGGGAUGCCGGGGGUCCUGGGGGUCCUCCUGGGGGUCCUUGUGGCUGGGCUUGCCACCCAUGAAGCUUACGGAGAUGGGUAAGUUUCCUCCCAACCCACACUGCAGUCAUCAUCCAUCUGGAAUGACCUCUGUCAUUCUCUUUCACUGUGUGUGACCAAGAAAAAAGAGUGAAUUCAUUCAUUCAUCCAUAUUCUGGGAGCAAAGGAAAUUGGAGUUAACAAAACCAACCCAGAAACUGCCCUCCUGGUCCUCUAUCAAGUGCAGCAGAAAGUCAUGGAACAAAUGACUUCAAGAGUGUUACUUGUUACUGAAGGGUCAGUAAGAGAUAAUGACCCUUAGGAUCUAUUUUUGCACAUCAAGGGUGGGCAAAAGCAACACGCAAAUGGAGUCUUGAAAGGUGCCUAGGUGUCUGCUGGCCUACAAGGGUGGGAAGGUGUUCCAGGCUGUGGGCCUGGCUUGAGCAGCAGCCUGGAGGUGAGACUCAGCCUGGCAUGCACCCUCGAGACCCUCUUGGCCACUUCCUGUUCCCCAGUGUGAGUUCCAGUGCCAUGAGCAGCCCUGGCCCCGGGCUGCAUCCUUCUCUCCCCCUAUCCCUGCCUUUCCGCCAUCUGGUCUCCCUGCAGCCUGGAGAGUGUGUUUCCACUCAUAGCCGAGGGCCAGCGCAGUGCCACGUCACAGGCCAUGUACCAGCUCUUCGGGCUGUUUGUCACACUGAUGUUUGCCUCUGUGGGUGGGGGCCUCGGAGGGCUCCUGCUGAAGCUACCCUUUCUGGACUCCCCCCCAGACUCCCAGUGCUACGAGGACCAAGUUCACUGGCAGGUGCCUGGCCAGCAUGAGGAUAAAGCCCAGAGACCUCUGAGGGGGAGGAGGCAGACACUCAGGCCUAACCCACUGCUGGCCCCUGAGAACACGUUCCUUUUCGGAGAUGCUGACUGGCUGCUACUAGGAAGUUCUUUUUGAGCUCCCAUUCCUCCAGCUGCAAGAAGGGAGCCAUGAGCCAGAAGGAGGCCCCUUUCCACAGGCAGUGCCUCCACAGGGAGAGAGGCAGCAGGAGGCUGGGAGAUCUUGGGGAGUGGGGCCAUAACUGGGUACGGUAGGGGGAACCUCACCAGAUGCCUGACCCGACUGCCCUACCAGCCUGCACAUGGGUAGAAGAGGCCAAAUUGAGGCACCCAAGUGAUCCACUGGCCCCACGUCACACAGUUACAGUGAAACCCAAGCCAGGCCUGGUUGAGGGUGAUAAACGCCACCAU